GCCUGGUCUGAAGAAGGUGGAGUUGAAGGUGCCCCGUCUGACUGAGAGCUGGGCCCACUGGAUCCUCAACCUCAUCCACACGUGCACCACUCUGAAGGAAGUAGAGUUAUAUGCUUCAAUGGGCUUGUAUUGGGCUGAUGGUCUCUUACUGGAGGAGGGGAUCAGUCUUCUGCAGGAGUCUUAUAAGCCUCCAGAUUGCACUGUGAUUCUCACUGGGAGGAGAUGCACUAAACCCAGUGGGAAGUGUAGUGAGGAAAAACACUUCCGAUUGGACUGCAACCAGUAUGUGACGAUCCAGAUAUUGGGGACAAAUGUAAUUCGGGAGGAAAGCAAUCCUCUGCCACUGCUUGCCGGAUCUACUGUUGCAGACUGGUCAUAUUUUAUACUCGAACGUCACAUGCCGUACAUGGGAUCUGCACAAAAAUAAUCCUGUGUAACUUGAUCUCCUGGAAGUGCCCUGAGUUGGCUACGGUGCGGCUGAUAGCAAUGCAACACUAUGGCUAACAUUAUGUGAAGCCUUCUGAUGCAGUAUAAUUCUAGCACAACAAGUAGGCUAACAUUAUGUGUAGCCUUCUGAUGCAGUGUAACUCUAGCA